GGUCUUGAAUUCCUGGCCUCAAGGGAUCCUCCUGCUUUGUCCUCCCAAAGUAUGGGAUUACAGGUGUGAGUCACAGUACCCAGCCUUUUUCUAACAAUUUCUUUCAGGGUGAUAUGUUAACAGGAUAUAGGAAAAAGGCUUCACUGUGCAAGACCUCUAAAUACCAAAACAGAGUCGAAACUGUGAAAUCUAUUUCAAUGCAUGAGAGCUCCUGUCGCUCCACAUCCUCAGCAGCACGUGGUGUUCGGUGUUCUGGAUUUUAGACAUUCUAAUAGGACUCAUUAGUUCUAACAGAUUUGUUUGUCAAUUCCUCAAGAUUUUCUACAUCUAAAAUCAUGUCAUCUGCAAAAAGAGCCCAGCUUCCCUGCUGAGGGAAGUGAGGAUAGCGUGCAAGAAGCCCCUGUCCCUGGAGAAAAGGAGAGCGGCUGGUCAAGGACACAGAUGAGGCCAUGCUUUCUGGUGCGAAGAUCCAAAGAAUAUCACGCCGUGAUUCUUCUGCUUCUCUGCAUGAAUCCCAAUCAACCAACCAAUCUCUCUCCUCCUCUCACUCACAGUAUCUUCCUACCAUUACACAGCUGGACCUGGGAUAGUCGGCUGGCCGCAAAGGCCUGGGUCAGCUCAUGAGGCACCCACUCAUGGAGCUUUUUCAUCCUUCCAAUUUGCUUCAAAUGCCAAACGACUGUAGAAUGGUUGACGCUGAGUUCUUCAGCAACUUCUCAUGUAGCUUUAAAAGGAUCAGCUUCGAUGACUGCUCUCAAUUGGUUGUUAUCAACUUCUGAAGGCCGGCCACUAAGCUCCUCAUCCUCAAGGUUCUCAUCUCCUUUGCAAAACUUCUUGAACCAUCACUGCACGGCCAAUAUGGUGAGAUAAUGGCUCAUGGCAGACAACAAACAUCUAUGCCUCGACUAACUGUUCCCGAAACUACUGUCCAUUAAUUAAUCCUAAAGCCAAAAGAGGAUACAUAAUUUUCCUUCUUAAACAUAUGAAGGUAAGUUGCAGACAAGAUGUCAUUUUACUUCUAAAUAUGUCAGUGUACAUCUCCUAAAAGCAAGGUAUAUCUCUUCUAUAAUCACAGUACAAGGAUCAAAAUCAGACAAGCCUAACACUGCUAACAUUGCUAUCACCUCAUCUCCAGACCUUAUUCAAAUCUCACCAAUUGUCCCACUUAUGACCCUUACUACAAAAGAAAAACAUUUUUCUUCUGGUCCAGGAUCUAAACCAGGAUCACACAUUGCAUUUAGUUGUCAUGUGUCUUUAGUUUCCUUUGAUCUACAUAAGUUGCUCAACUCUUCUUUGUGUUUCCUGACCUUGACAUGUUUGAAGAGAAGAAGCCAUUUAUUUUGUAGACUGUCUUUCAAUUUGGUUUGUCUGAUGUUUCCUCAUGAUUAUACUCAGGUUGUACAUUUUUGGCAAGAAUAUCAUAGAAAUGACUGUUGAGAGAGGAAUGUCUUCUGUUAUUCAUAACAAGCUCCUUUCAAUCAUACCUGAGUUUAUGCUAAUGAGAUGACUCUUAGAGGAUGGGAGCAGGUGGCCAGAGGAUCCAACCAUGUGAUUAAGGGGUUGGAACUUUCAGCCCCACCCCCACCCUCCAAAGGGGAGAGGGACUGAAGAAUGACUUAAUCACUAAUGGCAGAUUGAUAGGAUCAAUCAUGCCUACCUAGUCAGGCCUUCAUAAAAACCCAAGGACAAGGAUCAGAGGACUUGUGGGUUGCUGAACACACGGAAGUGAUGGAGGGUGGUGCACCUGGAGAGGGCAUGGAUGCUCUGCACCCCUUCCUAACACCUUGCCCUGUGCAUCUCCUCCACUGGGUUACUCUCAAGCUGUACCCUUUAUAAUAAACUGAUAAUAGUAAGCAAAGAGUUUCUGCGAGUUCUGUGAGUGAUAGUGCAAAUUAUCACCUACAACCCUCAUUCUUGGAAUCACUUCACAAGUGCCUUUAGUGAACCAACGUUAACACUUUCUAUCUAGAAUGUGCCACAUUCUACAAAUCAACUACCGUGGACUCUCCUGAAAAUUAAUGAAAUGAAAUAUGAAAGACGGCAAGAUAAUAAAGAGACAUAAUCAAAGACACUGUGUAACUUUGGGCCACAGAUGGGAUUAAAAAACAAUAAAAAAAGACUCCGAGGGACAAGCUUAAAUAUGGACAAUACAUGAGAUGAAACUGUUAGGUUGCUGUCAAUUUUCCUUGGGUGUAAUGAUGGUAUUGUGCUUUUUUGCAGGAAUGAAAUGGCCACUGCAAAAAUUAUGACACUGAGAAAAAUCCGACCUAACCAACUUUAUCUUGCUUUUAACCUCCAAGCUGCCCCUGUUCAUUCCUGGGUGUAGGCCAUGCUAACUAUAAGAGGAAUUUAAUUUAUACUUUAACUGUAAAACAAUGAAAACAGCCCCUUCCCAAAACAAACCCCCUCCUUGUCUGGGGAACAGACUGCAUUUGUAAAACUAACAUUAGAAAUUAAGGCUCAGGAGUCAUGCAGCCAGACCAGCAAACUGGCUCAACUAGUUCUGUGAUCUUACCCAGUAACUGAAGGUAGCAAGAAGACCCUGCCUCAAGCACCUAUAAUUUCAUCCCCAAACCAACCAGUCAGCAUUCCUCACUCCCUGGCCCCCUGCCCACCAAAUUAUUCUUUAAAAACCCUAGCCUCCAAAUUUUGGGAGAAAUUUAUUUGAGUAAUAAAACUUCAGUCUCCCAUUUAGCCAGCCCUGUGUUUAUUAAACUCUUUCUCUA
rnacentral:lncRNA from 1 species